rnacentral:rRNA from 1 species
CCUACGGGAGGCAGCAGUGGGGGAUAUUGCACAAUGGGGGAAACCCUGAUGCAGCGACGCCGCGUGGGCGAAGAAGUCUUUCGGUAUGUAAAGCCCUAUCAGCAGGGAAGAAGAAAUGACGGUACCUGAGUAAGAAGCACCGGCUAAAUACGUGCCAGCAGCCGCGGUAAUACGUAUGGUGCAAGCGUUAUCCGGAUUUACUGGGUGUAAAGGGAGCGCAGGCGGCACGGCAAGCCUGAUGUGAAAGCCCGCGGCCCAACCGCGGGACUGCAUUGGGAACUACCGGGCUGGAGUGCCGGAGAGGUAGGCGGAAUUCCUAGUGUAGCGGUGAAAUGCGUAGAUAUGAGGAGGAACACCAGUGGCGAAGGCAGCCUACUGGACGGGGACUGACGCUGAGGCUCGAAAGCGUGGGGAGCAAACAGGAUUAGAUACCCGAGUAGUC